GGAGAAGUCGCCCGGUUUCUGCUUGCUGGUCGCGAAAUUUUAUAGCUAUAAUUAACUCAGGGCGGAACAGCUAGCAGAAUCCUCAGCGUUCGGGCAAAGGGCAGAGAAUCCAGCCAGAAGCAACAUGUAGAUCUAAUGACCUUCUCCAGGAGUCGAGGACCCACUACCUCGCUGAAUUCUCAGAGUCAAAAUGCGUCUCUACCUGCUGGUCCCAGAACAGUCCCCUGCUGCUGCAUUGAAUGAAUCUCAUCUCACUUCCUCGAGUCAGCCCUACCUAUAUUUGAUGAUCACAAACCUUAUCCUUACGUUGCCAGCAGUAACAUUCUGCAUCCCUCACCCACUCCACUGUGUCCUUUUCCUCCCACUGAUCUUCACUCUGCCUUUUCUAGGGGAACUCUGAACAGUAUUUCUGAGAAGGGGUAGGUAAUGUGCGCUUUGCUUC
rnacentral:lncRNA from 10 species